rnacentral:rRNA from 1 species
UCUGAGGCCAUAUCACCCUGAAUGUGCCCCAUCUCGUCUGGUAUGGAAAGCUAAGCAGGGUCGGGCCUGGUUAGGCCUUGGAUGGGAGGCAGCUCUUCAGAG